rnacentral:rRNA from 1 species
AUUGAGCGCUGGCGGCAUGCCUUACACAUGCAAGUCGAACGGCAGCGCGGGUGCUUGCACCUGGUGGCGAGUGGCGAACGGGUGAGUAAUAUAUCGGAACGUACCUUAUUGUGGGGGAUAACGCAGCGAAAGCUGUGCUAAUACCGCAUAAUCCCUAAGGGGGAAAGCGGGGGACCGUAAGGCCUCGCGCAAUUAGAGCGGCCGAUACCUGAUUAGCUAGUUGGUGAGGUAAAGGCUCACCAAGGCAACGAUCAGUAGCUGGUCUGAGAGGACGAUCAGCCACACUGGGACUGAGACACGGCCCAGACUCCUACGGGAGGCAGCAGUGGGGAAUUUUGGACAAUGGGGGCAACCCUGAUCCAGCAAUGCCGCGUGAGUGAAGAAGGCCUUCGGGUUGUAAAGCUCUUUUGUCAGGGAAGAAACAGCAGCUCUAACACAGUUUGCGAAUGACGGUACCUGAAGAAUAAGCACCGGCUAACUACGUGCCAGCCGCCGCAGUAA